GCUCUCGUAGUCUAAUUGGAUAGGACUCGUCCCUCCGAAGGAUGCAAUCUGAGUUCAAGUCUCAGCGGGAGCACCA
rnacentral:tRNA from 1 species